GGAUGUGAGCGCCAUCUGGCUGCGACAUCUGUCACCCCAUUGAUCGCCAGGGUUGAUUCGGCUGAUCUGGCUGGCUAGGCGGGUGUCCCCUUCCUCCCUCACUGCUCCAUGUGCAUCCCUCCCGAAGCUGCGCGCUCGGUCGAAGAGGACGACCUUCCCCGCUAGAGGAGGACCGGUCUUUGGGUUCGGUCAAGGGUAUACGAGUAGCUGCGCUCCCCUGCUAGAACCUCCAAACAAGCUCUCAAGGUCCAAAUAGUCACGUCAGACUGAUGUUGCCACUACACUUGCCGUCUGGGUGAAGGGACUGGUUCCUGCCGGUUCCUGCUCCAU
rnacentral:snRNA from 1 species